UGGUCCUAGCCUUAAAAUCAAUUAUUACUUAACUUACACAUGCAAGUAUCCGCACCCCUGUGAAAACGCCCUUAAACCCCUCUAAGGGGUAAGGAGCUGAUAUCAGGCACGCACCGCCCACAACAUCUAGCUUAGCCACACCCACAAGGGAUUUCAGCAGUGAUUAACAUUGAUUAUAAGCGUCAGCUUGACUCAGUUAAAGUAAACAGAGCUGGCUAAUCUGGUGCCAGCCGCCGCGGUUACACCAUGAGGCUCAAAUUGAUCUUUACCGGCGUAAAGCGUGAUUAAAGAACCUAAUACUUGGAAUUAAAACUAAAUUAAGCUGUGACACGCUUAUUUCUGAGAAACCCAAAACCGAAAGAUAUUCCAAUUAACCCCACUUGAACCCACGACAGCUAAGAAACAAACUGGGAUUAGAUACCCCACUAUGCCUAGCCGUAAACCUUAAUUUACACCACCAAUCGCCAGGGAACUACGAGCAAAGCUUAAAACCCAAAGGACUUGACGGUACCCCACAUCCACCUAGAGGAGCCUGUUCUAUAAUCGAUAACCCACGUUCAACCUCACCCCUCUUAGCCCUUCAGCCUGUAUACCUCCGUCGUCAGCUUACCACGUGAGCGUACUUUAGUGAGCCUAAUGUUCAUUCACCAAAACGUCAGGUCAAGGUGCAGUAAAUGGAGGGGGAAGAAAUGGGCUACACUCUCUGCCUCAGAGUAUACGAAUGACUAUCUAUGAAACCUAGUCGGAAGGCGGAUUUAGUAGUAAAAUGGGACCAUAACGCCCAUUUUAACCCGGCACUGGGGUGUGUACACACCGCCCGUCACCCUCUUCAAAGCCCAACAUAAGUUCUUAACAAACCCAUGCCAAUCAGAAGAGGCAAGUCGUAACAUGGUAAGUAUACCGGAAGGUGUGCUUGGAAA
rnacentral:ncRNA from 1 species